rnacentral:rRNA from 1 species
GCUGGCGGCAGGCCUAACACAUGCAAGUCGAACGGAGUUAUAUUGUAGCUUGCUAUGGUAUAACUUAGUGGCAGACGGGUGAGUAAUGUAUAGGAAUCUACCUAGUAGUACGGAAUAAUUGUUGGAAACGGCAACUAAUACCGUAUACGCCCUACGGGGGAAAAAUUUAUUGCUAUUAGAUGAGCCUAUAUUAGAUUAGCUAGUUGGUGGAGUAAUAGCCUACCAAGGCAAUGAUCUAUAGCUGAUCUGAGAGGAUGAUCAGCCACACUGGAACUGAGAUACGGUCCAGACUCCUACGGGAGGCAGCAGUGGGGAAUAUUGGACAAUGGGCGAAAGCCUGAUCCAGCCAUGCCGCAUGAGUGAAGAAGGCCUUUGGGUUGUAAAGCUCUUUUAGUGAGGAAGAUAAUGACGGUACUCACAGAAGAAGUCCUGGCUAACUCCGUGCCAGCAGCCGCGGUAAUACGGAGAGGGCUAGCGUUAUUCGGAAUUAUUGGGCGUAAAGGGCGCGUAGGCGGAUUAGUAAGUUAAAAGUGAAAUCCCAAGGCUCAACCUUGGAAUUGCUUUUAAAACUGCUAAUCUAGAGAUUGAAAGAGGAUAGAGGAAUUCCUAGUGUAGAGGUGAAAUUCGUAAAUAUUAGGAGGAACACCAGUGGCGAAGGCGUCUAUCUGGUUCAAAUCUGACGCUGAGGCGCGAAGGCGUGGGGAGCCAAACGGAUUAGAUACCCUGGUAGUCCACGCUGUAAACGAUGAAUGUUAAAUAUGGGAAGUUUUACUUUCUGUAU